rnacentral:lncRNA from 1 species
CAGCACAAUGCCGGUGGCACUGCAACCACUGCAGGGACACUGCAUCUGCCUUCAUGCGCACUGCAUCAUCCAUCACAACAUACUGCAUACACCUUUAGGCACACUGCAUCCACUGCAUGGCCACUGCAUUCAUCUUCAGUGACACAGAAGGUGGCACUGCAACCCCUGCAGGGACACUGCUUCCAGCUGAUGUGGAAAUGCAGGUGCACUGCAAUCACUGCAGGAUCACUGCAUCCACUGCAUGUUCAGAGCAUGCACAUUCAGGGACACAGCAGCGUGCACUGCAACCACUGCCAGAUCACUGCAUCCAACUCGUGGGCACUGCAUCCUCUGUCACAACAUACAACAUCCACCUUGUGGGACACUGCAAGUACAGCAUGGUCACUGUAUCCACAUUCAGGGAACUGAUGGGGGCACUGCAACCACUGCAGCAUGACUGCAUCCACCUUCAUGGGCCCUGCAUCCUCCAUCACAACAAACUGCAUCCACAUUGUGGGACACUGCAUCCACUGCAUGACUACUGCAUCCACAUUCCUGGACAAUGUGGGGGGCACUAAAAGCACUGCAGCGACACUGCAGCCAGAUGAAGUGGCACUGCAAGUUCACUGCCAUGACUGCGGGAUCACUGCAUCCUCCAUCAUGAUCAGUGAAUCAUCCAUCACAACAUAAGGCAUCCACCUUGAGGGACACUGCAUCCACUGAAUGAGUACUGCAUCCACAUUCAGGUAAGCUGCAGGGGACACUGCAACCAAUGCCGGUUCACUGCCUCCACCUUCAUGGGCACUUCAUCCUAUGUCACAACAUACUGCUUUCACAUUGUGGGACACUGCAUCCAAUGCAUGGGGACUGCAUCCACGUUCAGGAACACUGCAGUUGGCUCUGCAACCACUGCAACAACAAUGCAUCCAGCUUAAGUAGCACUGCAGGUGCCCUGCAAUCACUGCAAGCUCAUGGCAUCCUACAUGGUGGGCACUUCAUCCUCGGUCACAACAUACUGCAUCCACCUUGUGGGGCACUGCAUGCACUGCAUGGGCAAUCUACCCACAUUCAGGGAAACGGUAGGGGGCACUGCAACCACUGCAGGUUCACCGCAUCCACCUUCAUGGGUACUGCAUCAUCUGACAAAGCAUAUUGCAUCCGCCUUGUGAUACACUGCAUCCACUGCAUGACCCCUGCAUCCACAUUCCAGCACAAUGCAACCACUGCAGAGACACUGCAUCCGCGUUCAUGCGCACUGCAUGCUGCAUCACAACAUACUGCAUAAACCUUUAGGUACACUGCCUCCACAGCAUGGGAACUGAAUUCACCUGCAGGGACUCAGAUGGCAGCACUGCAACUGCUGCAGCAACACUGCUGCCAGCUGAUUAGGAAAUGUAGGCACACUGCAAUCACUUCAGGAUCACUGCCUCCACUGCAUGUUCACAACAUCCACAUUCUGGGACCCAGCAGGGUGCACUGUAACCACUGCCAGAUCACUGCAUCCACCAUCAUGGGCACUGCAUCCUCCAUCACAACCUACUGCAUGCACCUUGUGGGAAACUGCAUCCAUUGCCUGGGUACUGCAUCCAUGAUCUCGGACCAUGCAG